UACAGCAGUUUUUCCAACUUCUAGCCCGAUUUCAUCAGAUCUCAGAAGCUAAACAGAGCUGGGCUUGGUCAGUACUAGAAGGGGAGACCCCUAAGGAAAACCACUGUGCUGCUGUAU
rnacentral:rRNA from 1 species